rnacentral:rRNA from 1 species
UACGAGAGGCCCAAACGUAUUCGGAUUUACUGGGCUUAAAGAGUUCGUAGGCGGCGCGGAAAGUAGGGUGUGAAAGCCCUCGGCUCAACCGAGGAAUUGCGCUCUAAACUACCGUGCUUGAGGAAGCUAGAGGUGAGCGGAACUGAUGGUGGAGCGGUGAAAUGCGUUGAUAUCAUCAGGAACACCGGAGGCGAAGGCGGCUCACUGGGGCUUUUCUGACGCUGAGGAACGAAAGCCAGGGGAGCGAACGGG